rnacentral:rRNA from 1 species
CAGUAGCCGCGGUAAUACGUAGGGUGCAAGCGUUAAUCGGAAUUACUGGGCGUAAAGCGUGCGCAGGCGGUUAUAUAAGACAGAUGUGAAAUCCCCGGGCUCAACCUGGGAACUGCAUUUGUGACUGUAUAGCUAGAGUACGGCAGAGGGGGAUGGAAUUCCGCGUGUAGCAGUAAAAUGCGUAGAUAUGCGGAGGAACACCGAUGGCGAAGGCAAUCCCCUGGGCCUGUACUGACGCUCAUGCACGAAAGCGUGGGGAGCAAACAGGAUUAGAUACCCCCGUAGUCCCUGUCUCUUAUAU